CAAGAGAGAUUCGGGCGCGUUUGCUGUCAAGGUCAAAGCCUCGGUGGCCCGAGUUUGGCUUCAACUCAGGUCUCCUGAAUUUCUGCUAUAGGAACCUCCACUCCCGUCCAUCCAUAAUGAUGACAAGCAUUCCAGAGAGAAGGCCCGGGGCAGAGGAGACGAUCUGGAGUUGAAGAGAGAGCAAGGCGACAGUGAGAGCGCGCCAGGCCCCAGGAUUACUGAAGAGCUAACUCUCCUUCUUGGGAGAGUUAUUGUCUUACCCUAACUGUUACUGAGACCAUACUGGAAGAAGAUGCUGGUGUGGGAAUCCCCUGGGAAAAAAGAAUUUUCAUUGUCAAAGGAAAUGCAGCAAAGAGAGCUUCUUCCUACCAAGCCAACAACGAGUUUGGACUCCUAGGAAACCGUCAUUCAAACCAGGAUUGAGAAGCAACCGUUCUUCCAUCUUCAUGGUUGAUCUUCUCUGGGCCAGCGAUAUGCCAUGAUCCUCUCUUGUGGUGGCCAGUGGCAGCAAGACACAGCUCCUGGUCAGCCCUGUAGACAUGAAGGUAAACCACUGAUUCACUUACAACCAUUCUGGUUUUUUGUUUUGUUUUGUCUUUGUUUUUCUUUUGCUUUUUAGGGCCCUGCCCACAGCAUAUGGAA